AUGCGGUCUGUGCCUGCGUGCUACCCAAACGUCGAUCUGAAUACCACUGAACGCUGGUUUGAAAAUUUCCAUUUUUGUAAUUUGCUUUCCUUUGUUAAGCCAAGACUUGAGAGAAACCUGGCAGUCGUCUCCAAGUCUGGCACGAUUUCCCUUCCGACCCACUCGGUUGGUGGGGAUGUGGAGGGGACCGCACAAGAGAGGAGAGAGAGGGAGGGAGGUGGCUUGAAACUCGCCCGCCCGCCCACCGGGGCCUGCGGAGGGAGCAAGCCCAGCGUCUCAGCCAGGGGGUUUGGCUCCACCUACAGGAAUCUGAGGGCACUCGAAGCAGAUCCCUCUGCCGCCAAGGAAACCAAAGGUGGGGACUUGGACAACUGCUGGAGAAUUUCCCAGCCAAUAGGAAUGGGCUCUAAGGAGCUGACGUUUCUGGUGAGCAGCAAUUGCUGCAACCACCUAAGCAUCAAACAAGCAACCGAUCGGAGCAGAUUUAAUAAACGUCCUGGAGAAGGAGGCUGCAUGCUUAUGGACUUUCAUGGUACCAUAAUGGACCAGGUGCUCUUCCACCCACCUGCUUAUGCUACCAUAGUAAGCACAAAAUCUACAUAUCUGGAGGAAAACAGUAUUUGCUGAAACGAUAAUAGAUGCAGGAAAUUUGUCUGUUAUGGGUAAAUGUCUCCAUGGUUUAACUUUGCACCAUUCUAUUUUGGUUAAAAAUAUCUACAAGGUCAUCCCUUACCAUCUUCCUUUUAAAAUGCACUGGUAAUUCAGGACUUUCCUGGUGGUCCAGUGGUUAAGAUUCUGAGCUUCCAAUGCAAGGAGGUGCAGGUUUGAUCCCUGGUCAGGGAAUGAAGAUCCUGCACACCACAGGGUGUGGCCAAAAAAAUAAUAAAAUACCCUGGUAAUUGAAAUGGCCCGUUUUUCAUCAGGAACUGGGGAUUUUGAAGGGAGUUUGAGGGAGAACGGAUACAUAUAUAUGUAUGACUGAGUUGCUCUGCUGUGCACUUGAAACUAUCACAACAGUGUUAAUUGGCUGUUUAGUUCAGUUCAGUUGCUCAGUCGUGUCUGACUCUU
rnacentral:lncRNA from 1 species